CUAUUGCUCGUGUGAAGUGGAAAUCCUUUUUUAUAAUUUAGUGGCUACUGGAAUUAUAAAAAAGAUUGUAACAAAUAGCCCGACCCUUU
rnacentral:sRNA from 1 species